AACGAACGCUGGUGGCAGGCUUAACACAUGCAAGUCGAGCGCCCCGCAAGGGGAGCGGCAGACGGGUGAGUAACGCGUGGGAAUCUACCCAUCUCUACGGAAUAACGCAUGGAAACGUGUGCUAAUACCGUAUACGUCCUUCGGGAGAAAGAUUUAUCGGAGAUGGAUGAGCCCGCGUUGGAUUAGCUAGUUGGUGGGGUAAAGGCCUACCAAUGCGACGAUCCAUAGCUGGUCUGAGAGGUUGAUUAGCCACACUGGGACUGAGACACGGCCCAGACUCCUACGGGAGGCAUCAGUGUGGAAUAGUGGACAAUGGGCGCAAGCCUGACCCAGUCAUGCCGCGUGAGUGAUGAAGGCCCUAGGGUUGUAAAGCUCUUUCACCGGUGAAGAUAAUGACGGUAACCGGAGAAGAAGCCCCGGCUAACUUCGUGCCAGCCGCCGCAGUAAGAC
rnacentral:rRNA from 1 species